CAGGGAAGCGCUUGAUGAAAGCAGGUCGCAGCUGCAGUGCUACUGGAGACAGACACAUUUAUUGCUCCUGUUUGGCUUUUGGCAACGGAGAGAGGAACGCAGUUGCGCAUUGGAGUAAAUAGCCUUCGGAGAAACAACACGAACAAACAACAAACCGAUCUCAAUGGUUUCUCAUAGCAUCUCAGAUUUUACCCCUGAGAAGAAGAAAAAGACAGUAAUUCCCAGAGAAGAUCUCAAUGUGUCAUCCUGUGCAUAAAGAAGAUACAUUUUCAAUAUGAAAACAUCCAAGGCCAAAUGACUAGAGAUGUGCUAUCUUUCAUUUAAUGCAAAAUGUAAAUUUUAUAGCUCUUACAGUAUGAACACUUUACUCAUUUGUGUCCAUUUAUUUCUUUUCAAUCAAAGUCUCUUAAACCACAGAAAAGCAAUAAAAACAAAUUUUCCGUU